ensembl:misc_RNA Metazoa_SRP Metazoan signal recognition particle RNA
GCCGGGCAUGGUGGUGCAUGCCUGUAAUCCCAGCUACUUGGGAGGCUGAGGCAAGAGAAUUGCUUGAACCCAGGAGGUAGAGGUUGCAGUGAGCUAAGAUCGCACCACUGCACUCCAGCCUGGGUGACAGAGCAAGACUCUGUCUCAA